UAUGAAGGUCAGGCUGAAGACCUUACCCGAUUAGCUGAGAGGUGGUGCAUGGCCGUCGUCAGUUCGUACUGUGAAGCAUCCUGUUAAGUCAGGCAACGAGCGAGACCCACGUCCACAGUUGCCAGCAUACCCCUCCGGGGUGAUGGGUACACUGUGGAGACCGCCGCUGCUAAAGCGGAGGAAGGAGUGGGCAACGGUAGGUCAGUAUGCCCCGAAUCUCCCGGGCUACACGCGGGCUACAAUGGUUGGUACAAUGGGCAUCUACCCCGAAAGGGGAAGGAAAUCUCUUAAAGCCAAUCGUAGUUCGGAUUGAGGGCUGCAACUCGCCCUCAUGAAGCUGGAAUCCGUAGUAAUCGCGUUUCAACAGAACGCGGUGAAUACGUCCCUGCUCCUU
rnacentral:rRNA from 1 species